rnacentral:lncRNA from 1 species
GAAGAAACCAUCUUUGGCGUAGUUUUGGUUUCUUUUAAUUCAAAGAUUUCUAACUACAACUAAAAUGUGAUUCAAUGUUUGGACAUAAUAUGGGUUUCCGAAACCAUUAUCAAGAUAGUCUUGAUAAUAUAUGUCCAAGACUAGGAAUCACAAGACUUGUAAAUUGUAGAGAUCUAUCCAUCAUGAAUCUUAGCAAGCUGGUGGGAGCUAUAAGCGUCUUAUAAGAGAAAGAUCAAAUUGUUGAUUCCUCAUAAGAUG